rnacentral:tRNA from 1 species
GGUUGGCUAGCUCAGUUGGUUAGAGCAUCAAGCUAAUACAACUGGUUACUUGAAGGUCAUGGGUUCGACCCCCCUGCUGACCA